AAAAACCCUACACAAGAACCCCUCAUCUUCUUCAACCUGGGAAAACAUUGAAGAUCUAAAAACAUCUAAACUUCACUCAAAACACACAGCCGCCGACCAACUCCACCAUUCUUGCCGCCAGUGAACUCCUCCAAACGACCACCCCUUCAGCCAUCUCCUCACCUGUCGCAGCUUCACUCACACUACACUCACCCGUCUCUCUCACGCCAGAAAACAUACAUAAAACAGCUGCACCCGACCUCAACACCCAAGGACUGCCCUCUCUCUGAAUAAGAUUUUAUAGAUAAAAAAAGAAAAAGAAAAACCUAGGGCCUAAUCUAGACGAAGAGCAGCGACAAUUCCUUCAGCUUAACCUCUAAGUCAUAGCCGUUUCCACCUUCUUCUCCUUUACAAAAAGAAGCAACCAUCCUCACCAACAACACCACCAAGGUUCCGACUCACCCCAGCUCCAAAACACAAAGCCAGCAACACCAAAAACACACAGAGGACGAAACUCGAUCUGGUCGGUCCUGAGUUUGAGUUGAAAAGGUCUGUCAAAGAGAUUCGCGGUCCGAGCUGCUACUACUGUUGCACUUUUGGGUCAGAUUUGGUUUUUCGGGAUUUGCUGUGACUAAAGUCACGUUUAAUACGAAGAAAUCUUUGAUGAGCGGUACAUUCAGUGCUUCUGGGGAAUGAACCGACGGGACGUUUCGAUCACUUCGAAUGCCUACGCCACGAGCAUGACAUCAUCAUGAGAGGUUCGAGAAAAUCAAGGUCAAACGUUUCAUAUCAUUCUAUUCUAAGAAAUGCGGGGACUAUCUGUAUAUGGUCAAAAUCGAGGAGUAUGAUUUUGAAGGUUUAAAUCGGGCCAUAGGCCCAAGUCCGAGACUCGAAAUGGGUGUCGUAUCCGACUAAGAGACAUCUACCUCAGGAAAGCUGAUCGAGUGCCUGGCACGGACUGCAUCAAGGGGUAGCAUUAUCUCGAAAUCAAUCAAGAAAGAGCGGGAAUUUCUCAAGGACACGUGGAUCUGGACAUUAAUUAUAGGAUAAGGGUUGUACGAAGUGGUACAGGUUCGUACUAGGCCGUUAUACACCUGUACCAAUAGAAUUCUUUACCUUUGUGAGCAAGGUACUACUUAGGGGUUUUCUCCUCCUAUAUAAAGGAGACCCCAAUCAUUUUGGUAAGGCAUCAGACCAUUCACUACAAUAGAACAUUUUUAUUCUUCUCUUGUUUAGCGUGCUCUCCAAUUAUUCUUCAGCUUUAUUGUCUUUACUUUAUUGUUCAUACUUUAUUACUCUUAGUUGACCUCGAGGUCCCUGAAUUGUCGAGCUCGAGGCCCACUAUUGUUCCAACAACACUGAUUUGGUUCA